ensembl:snRNA U6 U6 spliceosomal RNA
UUGGAGGAAGAGGGCACAAGAAAAAGCCAAUGGGAACGAUACAGAGAAGAUUAGCAUGGCCCCUGUGCAAGGAUGACACACAAAUUCAUGAAGCAUUCCAUAUUUUG